GCGUAUACAAUCUACCUUGUACUGGGGUAUAGCCUUUAGAAAUGAAGAUUAAUCCCCCAUAGUCUGUUAGAGUGGCAUCAUUUUUAGAGUAAAGGUUACGGUAUAAGAUGAGUAUGCGUUUUAUUAGUUUGUUGGUGUGGUAACGGCACACCAAGACUACGAUAGAUAGGGGCCCUGAGAGGGGGAUCCCCCACACUGGUACUGAGACACGGACCAGACUCCUACGGGAGGCAGCAGUGAGGAAUAUUGGACAAUGGAGGCAACUCUGAUCCAGCCAUGCCGCGUGCAGGAAGACUGCCCUAUGGGUUGUAAACUGCUUUUAUACAGGAAGAAACACCUCUACGUGUAGAGGCUGACGGUACGUAAG
rnacentral:rRNA from 1 species